GCCGGGAUAGCUCAGUUGGUAGAGCAGGGGACUGAAAAUUC
rnacentral:tRNA from 1 species